GUAGGUAUUGCUCAAUGGUAGAGCAAAUACUUAGCAUGCACACGUCCUGGGUUCAAUCCCCAGUACCUUCA
rnacentral:tRNA from 1 species